rnacentral:rRNA from 1 species
UACGGGGGAUGCAAGCGUUAUCCGGAAUCAUUGGGCGUAAAGCGCCUGUAGGUUGUUUAAUAAGUCUGUUGUUAAAGACUAGGGCUCAACCCUAGAAAAGCAAUGGAAACUACUAGACUAGAGUAUGGCAGGGGUAGAGGGAAUUUCUAGUGUAGCGGUGAAAUGCGUAGAUAUUAGAAAGAACACCAGCGGCGAAAGCGCUCUACUGGACCAUUACUGACACUCAGAGGCGAAAGCUAGGGUAGCAAAAGGGAUUAGAUACCCCUGUAGUCCUAGCCGUAAACGAUGGAUACUAGAUGUUGCAUGUAAUGUGCAGUAUCCUAGCUAACGCGUUAAGUAUCCCGCCUGGGGAGUACGCUCGCAAGGGUG